AUUAGCUAAAAUUUCAGUUUCGACCUGAUUUUUUUAAGGCUAAAA
rnacentral:tRNA from 1 species